CUGCCUAUUUUUAGAUUUUAAUCACCAAAAGUAUAAACACCCUACUUAAAAGUUGAGUAUGGAGAUCCGUCCAUUUUUGGAUCUAAUCACCAAAAGUGUAAACAUCCCACUUAAUCAUUUAGUGGGAGGUCUGUGACCCAUGUGUGCAAUAGUGGGUGACAAAUCAGAAUUAAACUAGCUGCCCCUGAGCAGUCUUAAAGCAAAGCAUCAACUAUGAUUGGUAGAAGUAAAAUUAGGGGAAGACACAGGAAGUGACACAAAAGAAACAUCUUUAAAAGGAGCUGUCACUUCCUGUGAGGGACAGUUCUUCAUUCUUUGGAAGUGAAAACUGGAUCCAAGACCCUGUUCCUGGUGAGGCUGUUCUAAAAUCUCUUCCUUUGAACUGACACGUGGAAUCCUUAUCAUCCUCAUUGAACAGAAUAGGAAACUGAUGCAAACAGAGGGUAUUCCUUUUCACAUGCUGCCCAGAAUACCUGAACAAGAUUUCCACUAUCAAUGCAUCUUCAUAUUGUGCGGGAUAUAUGCAUUUGUCUGGACCUAUUUUUUCAUUCCUGUAGAUAGCUCCCAUGUAGAAAGUCUUUACCAAUGCAAAUCACCAAUGUAACUCAUCUGUAAUUGCAAUUCUUAAAAAAUUGCCAUUGUCUAGAUACUCUCUAAGACUAUUAGUUGAAAGACAUUGGUUAGAGGAUAUUCAUCAUUAUUGUUGAGAGAGAAAGAAAAGGAAGAGGAGGAGGAGAAGGAGGAGGAAGGAAGGAAAGAAGAGAAGAACAAGUUGCCUAGGAUAGCAAGAAGUUAAAUGACUUACCCAAGGUCAUACAAAUUGUAUGUUGGGAGAAACAGAAUUUGAACCUUGAUCUUCCUUGCCUCCAUGGUCUAUCUAUAAUGCCAUGAU
rnacentral:lncRNA from 1 species